UACGGGGGGGGCAAGCGUUGUUCGGAAUUACUGGGCGUAAAGGGCUCGUAGGUGGCCAACUAAGUCAGACGUGAAAUCCCUCAGCUUAACUAGGGAACUGCGUCUGAUACUGGAUGGCUUGAGUUUGGGAGAGGGAUGCGGAAUUCCAGGUGUAGCGGUGAAAUGCGUAGAUAUCUGGAGGAACACCGGUGGCGAAGGCGGCAUCCUGGACCGGUAUUGACGCUGAUGCGCGAAAGCCAGGGGAGCAAACGGG
rnacentral:rRNA from 1 species